CAGCCUGCUAUUGGGAACAUCAGAAGGAACCCACUGUCCACACCUAAGCUCAUCCCCACUCGAUUUAUGGUGCUCUAAGUUCAGAGGCAGCAGCUUCUCUUCUAGGGCAAUCACUUCCCUUAGCAGCCCAAAGAGUUGAGAUGUUGAUCCUGUGGGGUGACCUGCUUGCUGUCUCUUGGAAGAUGUUUUUUGGUGGCACUGGUGCAGAAGUUGUAGAAGGACAGAGCGGGAGACAUGUUAAAGGAUUUUAGGACUCCUGAGUCUUGUGUACAGACCUUCAAGAUCUCCCUCACCUCCUGGUAUGCCAUGAAGCGUUGGACCAAAGCCCAAAAUAAGAAGAUGAGGGUCAGAAAGGACUAGGUAAGAGGAGCUCUUUCUAGCUCAUGUGCCACUACAGACUUUGGCAGGAGAGCCUUCCUCUGAAUUCUUUAUGAGAGUCAUCUUUCCCUCCCCUGAAUACCCACAGUCCUUUUCCAACCCUCUCCUUUGAAUAUGUUUACUCAGUAUUUAUUAAUUACCUGCCUGGGGCCAGACAUACUCUUAUGGCUUCCACCACUUCCCCACCAUUAGUUAUUUGAGUAAAAGGAUGGAGAAAAUUUUAUUCCCCCUAUUUCCAGGAUCCCAAGGAAGGAAGACCAAUCUAGGGGAUGUGCUCACUGUGAGAGAAGCAAGGUGGGCUUACAUUUUGCAGAGAAACCUAUGAGAUGAGACAGGUCAUUGUUUGGCGAGCUUGGACUUUGGGAGCUGGUGGACAAUGUGUUGAGGGUCACCAAAGUGGC
rnacentral:lncRNA from 1 species